rnacentral:rRNA from 1 species
AGAGUUUGAUCCUGGCUCAGGACGAACGCUGGCGGCGUGCCUAAUACAUGCAAGUCGAGCGGACAGAUGGGAGCUUGCUCCCUGAUGUUAGCGGCGGACGGGUGAGUAACACGUGGGUAACCUGCCUGUAAGACUGGGAUAACUCCGGGAAACCGGGGCUAAUACCGGAUGGUUGUUUGAACCGCAUGGUUCAAACAUAAAAGGUGGCUUCGGCUACCACUUGCAGAUGGACCCGCGGCGCAUUAGCUAGUUGGUGAGGUAAUGGCUCACCAAGGCAACGAUGCGUAGCCGACCUGAGAGGGUGAUCGGCCACACUGGGACUGAGACACGGCCCAGACUCCUACGGGAGGCAGCAGUAGGGAAUCUUCCGCAAUGGACGAAAGUCUGACGGAGCAACGCCGCGUGAGUGAUGAAGGUUUUCGGAUCGUAAAGCUCUGUUGUUAGGGAAGAACAAGUGCCGUUCGAAUAGGGCGGUACCUUGACGGUACCUAACCAGAAAGCCACGGCUAACUACGUGCCAGCAGCCGCGGUAAUACGUAGGUGGCAAGCGUUGUCCGGAAUUAUUGGGCGUAAAGGGCUCGCAGGCGGUUUCUUAAGUCUGAUGUGAAAGCCCCCGGCUCAACCGGGGAGGGUCAUUGGAAACUGGGGAACUUGAGUGCAGAAGAGGAGAGUGGAAUUCCACGUGUAGCGGUGAAAUGCGUAGAGAUGUGGAGGAACACCAGUGGCGAAGGCGACUCUCUGGUCUGUAACUGACGCUGAGGAGCGAAAGCGUGGGGAGCGAACAGGAUUAGAUACCCUGGUAGUCCACGCCGUAAACGAUGAGUGCUAAGUGUUAGGGGGUUUCCGCCCCUUAGUGCUGCAGCUAACGCAUUAAGCACUCCGCCUGGGGAGUACGGUCGCAAGACUGAAACUCAAAGGAAUUGACGGGGGCCCGCACAAGCGGUGGAGCAUGUGGUUUAAUUCGAAGCAACGCGAAGAACCUUACCAGGUCUUGACAUCCUCUGACAAUCCUAGAGAUAGGACGUCCCCCUCGGGGGCAGAGUGACUGGUGGUGCAUGGUUGUCGUCAGCUCGUGUCGUGAGAUGUUGGGUUAAGUCCCGCAACGAGCGCAACCCUUGAUCUUAGCUGCCAGCAUUCAGUUGGGCACUCUAAGGUGACUGCCGGUGACAAACCGGAGGAAGGUGGGGAUGACGUCAAAUCAUCAUGCCCCUUAUGACCUGGGCUACACACGUGCUACAAUGGACAGAACAAAGGGCAGCGAAACCGCGAGGUUAAGCCAAUCCCACAAAUCUGUUCACAGUUCGGAUCGCAGUCUGCAACUCGACUGCGUGAAGCUGGAAUCGCUAGUAAUCGCGGAUCAGCAUGCCGCGUGAAUACGUUCCCGGGCCUUGUACACACCGCCCGUCACACCACGAGAGUUUGUAACACCCGAAGUCGGUGAGGUAACCUUUUAGGAGCCAGCCGCCGAAGGUGGGACAGAUGAUUGGGGUGAAGUCGUAACAAGGUA